rnacentral:lncRNA from 1 species
UGUGCACCUCUGAUACAAAGCGCGCAACUGCUUUUAAACAAAAAGAUCGACCUGCUAGAUGCGUCUCUCAGGGAGGGAGAAUCGAACCUGAGAUCCCGGCGUUUCAUUUUCGUGGAGGAAAAAAAAAAGCUGUUGAGCACCACAGUCCAGGCGCAGUAGGGACUUGUACAUCUGCAGGCAGGUCUCGCUGUUCCGCUGCAAUGGUAAGAAAAGUUAUUUUUUCCACUGUAUAAACCAGAAAAAUGUUCAUUAAGAACUGGUUAUUUGGAAC